UACGUAGGGGGCGAGCGUUGUCCGGAAUUACUGGGCGUAAAGCGCACGUAGGUGGCUUGCUAAGAUGGGCGUGAAAUCCCCGGGCUUACCUCGGGGGGGUCGUCCGUGACUGGCCGGCUUGGGUGUGGGAGAGGCAGGUGGAAUUCCCGGUGGAGCGGUGAAAUGCGUAGAGAUCGGGAGGAACACCAGUGGCGAAGGCGACCUGCUGGGCCAUUACCGACACUGAGGUGCGAAAGCGUGGGGAGCGAACCGGAUUAGAUACCCGGGUAGUCCACGCCCUAAACGAUGGGUACUAGGCGUGGGGGGUAUCGACCCCCUCCGUGCCGGAGCUAACGCGCGAAGUACCCCGCCUGGGGAGUACGGCCGCAAGGUUGAA
rnacentral:rRNA from 1 species